rnacentral:siRNA from 1 species
CUACACAUGUGCCGGAGGAGCGA